GACGAACGCUGGCGGCGUGCUUAACACAUGCCAGUCGAACGGAAAGGCCCUGCUUUUGUGGGGUGCUCGAGUGGCGAACGGGUGAGUAACACGUGAGUAACCUGCCCUUGACUUUGGGAUAACUUCAGGAAACUGGGGCUAAUACCGGAUAGGAGCUCCUGCUGCAUGGUGGGGGUUGGAAAGUUUCGGCGGUUGGGGAUGGACUCGCGGCUUAUCAGCUUGUUGGUGGGGUAGUGGCUUACCAAGGCUUUGACGGGUAGCCGGCCUGAGAGGGUGACCGGCCACAUUGGGACUGAGCUACGGCCCAGCCUCCUACGGGAGGCAGCAGUGGGGAAUAUUGCACAAUGGGCGGAAGCCUGAUGCAGCAACGCCGCGUGCGGGAUGACGGCCUUCGGGUUGUAAACCGCUUUCGCCUGUGACGAAGCGUGAGUGACGGUAAUGGGUAAAGAAGCACCGGCUAACUACGUG
rnacentral:rRNA from 1 species